AUUGAACGCUGGCGGCAGGCCUAACACAUGCAAGUCGAGCGAGCGGCGGACGGGUGAGUAAUGUAUGGGGAUCUUCCCGAUAGAGGGGGAUAACUACUGGAAACGGUGGCUAAUACCGCAUACUAUCGUAUGAACCCAUAGGGGAUUAGCUAGUGGGUGUGGUAAAGGCUCACCUAGGCGACGAUCUCUAGCUGGUCUGAGAGGAUGAUCAGCCACACUGGGACUGAGACACGGUCCAGACUCCUACGGGAGGCAGCAGUGGGGAAUAUUGCACAAUGGGCGAAAGCCUGAUGCAGCCAUGCCGCGUGAAUGAAGAAGGCCUUAGGGUUGUAAAGUACUGUCAGCGGGGAGGCGUUACCCGAAGAGGAAGCAACGGCUAACUCCGUGCCAGCAGCCGCGGUAAUAC
rnacentral:rRNA from 1 species